GCCCCGACCCAGCCGGUGGCACGCUGCGGGCACCCUCCGCCAGCUCGUGCCCUCUCAGCGGGGCGCCGGCAAAGUUGGAGGACGCAGGAACUACAGCUUUGCUUUGUUCCCACUCCACGUUUUCCUCCGAGUUCCACCAGCGGGACCUUGGCGAGGCCCCUCAGUGUCGGAGGACGCCGCACGAGUGGCCUCAGAGUUGGGGGGCGUCGGUGUCACUUGCUGAUUGAUUUCCUCCCUGUAGGUUUUCCAUUUUUCUCUUUAAAGUAGCUUUUCUGCAGAAGGUGACUCCCCCCGCCACCUCCGCCCCGAUCGGGAAUGGAGGGUGGUCAUCCUGUGUUGGCUCUCAAGACUUUACCCUCCACUUCUCCGAGCCUAACUUCCUGUCUAGUUGCUCACAUGAUGUCAUUGUCUCUAGGGUGGAUUAUUCUAGUGGAGGCUUUCGCUCUGGGAAUCAUGAUUGUAUAAUCGCGAGUCCCAUCGAGGGCUGUGAGUGCCCUGCGCUGGCGAGGAUAGGAGUCCCCCGGCUGGGGAACCACCAACCACCAGAGAAUUUUCUGACCAACCUUUCGUGGACUGUUUAGGAUGAUGGAAAAUCCAACUUAUACUAUUUUUUUUUUUUAAACUUUGGUAAAAAGGAAGCAGGAUGAAGGGUUCAGAAAGACCAGUGGACCGGCGCUAGCAAGUUACUUCUCAGAAUGAAGUUGAGCCCGCUUUGAGCUGAACUUUGAGCUUUUGGUGGGGUUUAUGGGAUUCUUAGUUUUUCCUUUGUAUCAGACAUGGUCUGAUUCGUACCCCUGAGUUUAGGACUUGCAGAUACCACUAUUCUAAGGAGAAUAAGGCUGAGCUCACAAUAGAAAUUCCUUGCAAGGUCCAUGUUCUUUAUUUCUUUUCCCUUUUUUGGGGGGGAGAGGGGAGGAUGGCAGGCUGGAGAAUUUACUGCACAUUAGUUUAUAGUUAGUUGGCUGCCCUAAGAUACAUACUAUACAGUAAUGAGCAGGGUACACAGAAAAAGGGGGUCAAUUUCUGCCAGGUGGAGAAACGUGGCUUACAUUCAAAGGAAGGAGGUUUUGGAAUAAUGGCUAAUGUGACCAGCCCUAUCCAUGAGAAAUUAGCUCAGCGGGGCUAGUGGUGUCGAAGUCUUGGUCUUGUUAGCAAAUUGGAAUUUAUUUUUUAAUAGUUAGGGUUAAAGUUGGCUUCGAGGGCAGACACAUAUUUAGUGGCUGAUGGGGGGGGGAUGCUUAGUUUCGCAUUAAGUGAGUCCUCACAGCGUCUUGAAUUUGAAUCUGCAUUUGUUAACCUCAUUUGCGAGUGGAACAUGGCCUCUGGGUCCAGUAGGAAAUGGCCUUUGUAUUUUCAGCUCGAAAAUGCUAGAGAGCGCUCUAGGGGGAUAUGCAUUGUUAGUGUGACAAAUGUGUCUUCUGCAAUCUUAGAAUAUCUUUAAAGUUGGCGCUUUUACUCUUUCUGCCAGAUUUCCUUAGGACAGCAAAUCUCCCAGUCCAUUCAGGGGUGAGCUUGCACACAUUUCUUUUCUCUCUCAGCACUCUGCGGUUUUGCAUUGAGAUUGCUCCAGAGCUGUGCAUAAUCUCAACUUUAAACUCAAUAUUCCGCCAAAUGAAAUUUUUCCUAUUUAUUCCCAUUUUAAAUGAAUACCUUGGCUUAAAUACUUAAGUUUUUUUUUUUUUUUUUGGUUGGGGGGGGGAUGUAAAAAAUCUGUGUUCUUUUAUUAGGUAACACUGGCUAAAAGUUCUUUAGCAUAUAUUUGAAGAACAGGAAUGUGAGCGAUAAUUUUUUAAAUACAGUAUGAAAAGUUCUUCUUAGUAUCACCAAAGCAGGAUGUGUUAAGCUGCCUUUUUAUUCUAUCUCUGAGAGUCCAUUUGUCUGAAAUGUGAAUAACCCACCCAGAUCCACCCCACUUCUCCCAGGAGCAUGAAAAGUAGACUUUACAAGUGUUAACGUUUGUGGAGUUUGGUCAAGUGGCAGCAGACCCCAGGUAGACACCCCCUGUAGACCCAAGGAUCACAUCCCAAAUAUUUGUAAAUUGCUUGUUUGUAAUACAGAACAUAUUUUUCUAUUGAGAAUCGUCUUGCUCGUUGUGGUUUGGUGCCCAUGGCAGUCACCAGAAACCUGUCAUCCACACCACAGCUUUGGAGUGCCCAGACACUGCACAGCCUUAAUUGGAGCCCUGGUGGUAAAUUUUCAUUGUCUCUCAAUAAUAGAGUUGGAUCCUAGGAAGCAACUUCUCUCAAGUCCAGCUUUCUAGAACCAAAGAGGGUACUUUUCAUCUUUGGUCCCUUAGAACCCACUGGAGGGAAGUCGAGUCUGCUUCAGUCGACCUGCUGCCUGCAGGUCACCAGCCACCGGGAUCUGUCUCUUGGUAAUGGCACCGGCCAUUGUGGUGUGUGAGAAGGUGGAAGUAGCUGAGAUUGGGUAUGCCUAUGGAUCCUUUGUGUCUUCCUUAUAGCUAACUCAUGACCACUGAGGGACAGAGGCCUGAACUUAUGCUUAUUAUGUUCUCCUCAUCUUUAAUCCUGGCAAGGUGACGCAGGAUUCAUUUAUUCUCCAAUAAUUUCUUAAGCAGAGGGAACAGUGGGAGAGGCCAAAGCUGGAAUUGGAGACCCCAGGAAUGGAACAUCAUGUUGGAAGAAGAUUGUGCUGGCCAUGACAGCAGCAACCAUGACACCCUUCUCGCGUUAUGUUUGUUAAUUUUAAACAGUGUAAUCUUCCUAUUGGUUUUCCCUUUGAUCUAAAAAUAAUCUAAGAUGUUAACUCAUUUUUUGCUCUUUUGAAUAAAGCUUUUGAGUACUUACGUACAAGA